GUGCUUGCUUUGGCAGCAUAUAUACUAAAAUUGGAACAAUACAGAGAUUAGCAUGGCCUCUGUGCGAGGAUGACAUGCGAAUUCAUGAAGAAUUCCAUAUUUUU
rnacentral:snRNA from 1 species